rnacentral:misc_RNA from 1 species
GAUGAAGAACGUAGCGAAAUGCGAUACGUAAUGUGAAUUGCAGAAUUCAGUGAAUCAUCGAGUCUUUGAACGCACAUUGCGACCCCUGGUAUUCCGGGGGGCAUGCCUGUCCGAGCGUCAUUGCUGCCCUCAAGCACGGCUUGUGUGUUGGGCCUCCGUCCUCCUCCCGGGGGACGGGCCCGAAAGGCAGCGGCGGCACCGCGUCCGGUCCUCGAGCGUAUGGGGCUUCGUCACCCGCUCUUGUAGGCCCGGCCGGCGCUUGCCGACACAUCAAUCUUUUUUCCAGGUUGACCUCGGAUCAGGUAGGGAUACCCGCUGAACUUAAGCAUAUCAAUAAGCGGAGGA